rnacentral:rRNA from 1 species
UAUGUAGGGUUCGAGCGUUGUCCGGAAUUACUGGGCGUAAAGAGCUCGUAGGUGGUUUGUCGCGUUGUUCGUGAAAACUCACAGCUUAACUGUGGGCGUGCGGGCGAUACGGGCAGACUUGAGUACUGCAGGGGAGACUGGAAUUCCUGGUGUAGCGGUGGAAUGCGCAGAUAUCAGGAGGAACACCGGUGGCGAAGGCGGGUCUCUGGGCAGUAACUGACGCUGAGGAGCGAAAGCGUGGGGAGCGAACAGG